rnacentral:rRNA from 1 species
GUAUUCCGCUCCAUAGCGUAUAUUAAAGUUGUUGCAGUUAAAAAGCUCGUAGUUGAAUUUCGGGGUUAGUAGGCUGGUCGUGCCACAGGUACGUACUGGUCUCACUGAUUCCUCCUUCCUGAUGAACCGUAAUGCCAUUAAUUUGGUGUUGCGGGGAAACUGGACUGUUACUUUGAAAAAAUUAGAGUGUUUAAAGCAGGCUAACGCUUGAAUACAUUAGCAUGGAAUAAUGAAAUAGGACGUUCGAUCCUAUUUUGUUGGUUUCUAGGAUUGACGUAAUGAUUAAUAGGGAUAGUUGGGGGCAUUAGUAUUCAAUUGUCAGAGGUGAAAUUCUUGGAUUUAUUGAAGACUAACUACUGCGAAAGCAUUUGCCAAGGAUGUUUUCAUUAAUCAAGAACGAAAGUUAGGGGAUCGAAGACGAUCAGAUACCGUCGUAGUCUUAACCAUAAACUAUGCCGACUAGGGAUCGGAUGAUGUUAAUUUUUUAAUGACUCAUUCGGCACCUUACGGCAAAC